rnacentral:lncRNA from 1 species
AAAGAAGGGGUCAGUAUUUUCGCAGAACAUGCUGAGUCUCUGCAUGAUAAGUUGCUUCCUCUGAAAGCUGUAAUAGUAGGACCCCACGCUGUGGAGUGUCACGGGAUGCUUGUUUUGAAAAUAUUUUGCAUUGCUUAGAUGAAGGGCACGCGUUGACACUUCACAUUACAAUAACACAGGCUUACAUUUCAGCUACUUUAAUUCCCAUCAGUCUCACAACUUGGCAGAAGCAUUUUUCACUCAAUUCUACGGUUUUGUUCUGGUCACCCUGAGGAUUCUAUUUUUAGAAGAAGGUCUUUAAAAAUGAAGCAUAAACACAGAGUUAAAAAGACAUUAGUUUGAAACCUAUCCAUGUUUUUCAGAUUCCCAUCUUAGAUGCUAGCUCCUUGCUAUGGAAGGUCCUAUCUUGCCUGGAAAAGCAAAGAAUAAAACAAGAGAAGUGUGUCUGCAGAAACUGGUGAAAACACUUCCCCUCGCACUCUCUUCUUUCAGGAGACCUCCAACACCAGCUCAUCUCCUCCCUCCUCGUGCCACUGUCUGCUCCCAGGCAGAAGGUGGUGGCUCACCGGACUGUUGAAAGCCACAUUGCCAUCCAGGAGAUCUGCCUGUUGAGCCUGAAAGCUGCCCUGUGUGCGGACACUCUAGGUAGCACUGGAGCUAGGACUGAGGUGAGCUCCCCCAGACCACCAAUGGCAGAGCUGGGCAUUUCAGGUCUCAUGGCACCUUGAUGGCACUUGGAAUAGUGUUGGCCUACCUUAAUACUAGCAUUAUAUCUGUAUAAGAAAUCUAUGAGGAGCUGGCAUUGUGGUAUAGUGGAUAAACCUACCACCUGUGGCACUGGCAUCCUAUAUGGGCUCGGAUUUGAGUCCCGGCUAUUCCGCUUUCUAUCUAGCUUCCUGCUAAUGCACCUGGGAAAGCAAUGGAAGAUGGCCCAAGUCCUUGGAUCCCUGCACUCAUGUGAGAGACCUGAAUGAAGCUUCUGGCUUGUAGCUUCGGAUCAGCUUGGCUCCUGCCAUUGCAAGAUUUGGGGAGUGAGCCUGCAGAUGGAAGAUUUUUCUCUCUCUGUCUCUGCCUCUCUCUCUGUAACUCUGCCUUUCAAAUAAAUAAGUAAAUCUUAAAAAAAUACCA